UUUCAAAUGGUGAGUAGUCCAAGCCAAACUAACCAGAUAUACAUAUACCCCUCGCUUCGCGAUUAAUUCAUUCAUGCAUCGCACUCUGCAGUGUACUCGCUUGAUCUGGAUCUUGUGAAUUUUCAGGUGUUGUUGGGGCUUUUCUCUUGUUGUUUCACGUUUAUAUUGAUUAGUGUCCGGUGGUGAAAUUGAGAAAACAAGAUGGUUGUACUAGCGGCUUCCAUCAUAAGUAAAUCGGGCAAAGGUAGGCCCCUAACUUUUUUUUUCCAUGUAUUACUUCUCCUGAUUUUGAAUAUGUAAGUUGGAUAUGUGAGGAUGCUAUCUUUGGUCAGUGCUUUUAGUUGUUAUAGCUAUUUUUCCAUGCCCGUGCUGAAUGUAAGAAAAAUCUCUUUGGCAUUGUAAUGAUCUCAGUCUGUCCUAAAAGCCCUCUGCUAGAACAUUACAUUCGAGAAUGAUUAGGCGAACAUGAAUAUGAUUAUGCAUGCAUGCUAAUUAAUAUGUCUGUUUGCAGAAUCGAUUGACAGGGACAUCGAUAUUUAUUAAGUACUUUGUUUUCUUGGUUUGGACUGCACAUACUUCAUCUAUUAUUUUAUCGUACUGGCCUUCUUGUGGUCUUUCCUAGUUAUUUUUACAUCUGUCGUGUAAUUUGGUUCUGUCCAUUUUGUUUCAUACCUAUAUGCAUUUUCCAUGCAUUGUCUUUUCUUAUCAAUUAUCAUACAUUUGUUUAUAAAGUUUUCUUUAUGGUCCUUGUGCCUUCUGUUGAACUUUCAUGACACGCCUUUUUUAAUGUUUAUAUGUUCACGUUUGAUUUUUAGUUAUGCUGCUCAGCUUUUUUAGAAGAAAUUUGGGGACAAAAGAAUCUGAUUUUAGAAGAAUCUGAUUUUAGAAGAAAUUUGGGGACAAAAGAAGCUUUACUUGUCUUUAUCUAUUUUUUCUCUUCAACAUAGAAAUCAGAAAUAAUGUGAAGCUUCUGCUUCAUUCAAUCUCCCUCUUUAUCUCUGGUUAUCUUCUUCCUCAGGUAUGUACAUUACUUAUAAAAUAAACUAACUAUUUUAGUUUGUGUAUGCAAUUAACUAGACACAGCUGCACAAUCUUGAAGAAGUCAUUUUUCAUUCCAGACUUGGGUUUUCAUAUAAUUCAUAGUAGCAAAAAAAGAGAAGUGCAUAUUAGUGGUUUCAGAUUUAUGCAUAAAUUUCAGUUUGAUGUUGAUGUAUAUAUAGUAUGAUGGCCAUUUCUGCUGCUUUUAAUGGGUAAAAGAAACAUGUAUUUCAUUGUUUAUUAACAGAAGAGGAAAGGAAGGGUAUGAACGAGUUGAACAGUGGAAGAGCAAAGCAAAUGCCAUGGAACAAUGUGUACAGUAGUAGUGAGUCUCUUGACAAGGAAUUCCAUGGAAAAGCUUGGGAUCAUCCAUGAAUGCCAUUUCUUUCGGGUUCGUGGCAACGGCCAUCUUGAUUUCGAUGUUUCUCAUUAUGGCUAUUUUCGAGCAUCUAUUCAGACCGUCUUCCCAGCAAGACUCUUCUACGCAGACGGAAUCAACACAAAUGCACAAGCUUGAGCCCCCUCAUCACCCAGUACAGACAUCAUAUGCAUCAGAUUUCUCAGUGGUGAUGCCAGGACAGCAGUAUCCUAGCUUUAUUGCUCAACCUGCUCCUCUGCCAAGGGAAGGAGAGUGAUUUGGCUCUCCCACUCUCUCUCUCAUCCAACCAACCAAUAAAGCUUACUUCAGUUUGGCAUCUUUUGUACACACCACUUGAUUUAAUGGCUUACAAAUUUUGAUUGCACCA